AAAUGAAGGAAAAAUUAGACUGUGUUUUAUGCAACAUGUAAGAAGUUUCAUAUCAAACUAGAGUUCCACAACCCCAUACAUGUACCCUUGCCUAAUAAUCUUAACCUUUACAACAGGUGUAUUAUGUGCAUUAUCAUUAAUCAUACAAAUAAGUACUCAUUUGCAUAAAACAUAUUAGUUGAUCAUCUCUUCAACCCAAAUACACAAUAUAUAAGAAAGACGGCUCUAAAACUUAGUAAAGGCAUUUACUGAUAUUUGUGCAAAUAAGGUCCUCAUUUGCAUAAUCAAUGUUUAAUGAUGUUCACCUAAACAUAACUAACAAAUGCUACAAGUAAGAAUUUAUCAAAACAAGAAGUUCCCCAGAAGUACCUGGAGUUAUCUUGUUCACAGACAAUAUUUCAUGGCAGUCAGGGUUAGACAAGUUUUUUAAAAUCCACUUGUCCUUUCGGACAAGUACAUAAAAAAUUUACUUGCCCGGAUCAACUUUUCACUUGCCCAAAAUGUAAGAACAUUUUUCUAUGUAUUUAAUCACUUCCAUGAAUGAAAUUCUUUUGUCAUUGCCUCAAUUUUCCUGUGUUGGCCAAUGCUUCAUGCCAUGACUGUAAAAGGUAACAAGUAUAAAACGUUAAGUGCUCUGGAUGACAAAAUGUUAAUAAUGACUUUUACUCAUCAGACGUCUUGCUUAUGAUCCAUAUUGGCACACAAACAGAAGCAGUGUGUACUGCCUACAGCUGUUUCACGUCUACUGUAUCCAGCGUGCUAGCUAGGAUUUUAUUUUAGCUUAGUGGUAUUGCGGCGAAGGGAACGGAGUGACUAAGGGGGGUGGUGCAGAGUUUUUGAUAAAGCAGCAUGGAAGCACAGUGUGAAGACUAUUCCGACUGCUGCCUACCCGUGACAGGGAUCCCAGCAGCAGUAUAAUCAAAAAUGGAUACGACGAGGCCAUUUUAAAGGACCAAUGAAGGAAAAUGCUUUUUGUUUGUUUGUUUGAACCUUUGUUGAUUCAUGAAAGCUCAAAUAGGCCUGCAAUUCACUGUUAUUUUUACACUAUGUAUUCUUGAUGGGUAAUUCUUACUAAUAGGUGAUCAUUAGAACUUUUGCAUCUUGGCACUGAGUUACCCUUACAAAGGACCUUGUCACAAAAUAAGUUAAUCGACACACAGAAAC